UCGAACCUGAGCUCAGGCAAGACUACC
rnacentral:rRNA from 1 species